rnacentral:rRNA from 1 species
UACGUAGGGUGCGAGCGUUAAUCGGAAUUACUGGGCGUAAAGCGUGCGCAGGCGGUUUUGUAAGCCAGAUGUGAAAUCCCCGGGCUUAACCUGGGAAUGGCAUUUGGGACUGCAAGGCUUGAGUGCGGCAGAGGAGACUGGAAUUCCUGGUGUAGCAGUGAAAUGCGUAGAUAUCAGGAGGAACACCGAUGGCGAAGGCAGGUCUCUGGGCUGACACUGACGCUGAGGAGCGAAAGCGUGGGGAGCGAACAGG